AGUGAACGCCGGCGGUAGGCCUAACACAUGCAAGUCGAACGGCAGCACAGUAAGAGCUUGCUCUUACGGGUGGCGAGUGGCGGACGGGUGAGGAAUACAUCGGAAUCUACUUUUUCGUAGGGGAUAACGUAGGGAAACUUACGCUAAUACCGCAUACGACCUACGGGUGAAGGCAGGGGAUCUUCGGACCUUGCGCGAUUGAAUGAGCCGAUGUCGGAUUAGCUAGUUGGCGGGGUAAAGGCCCACCAAGGCGACGAUCCGUAGCUGGUCUGAGAGGAUGAUCAGCCACACUGGAACUGAGACACGGUCCAGACUCCUACGGGAGGCAGCAGUGGGGAAUAUUGGACAAUGGGCGCAAGCCUGAUCCAGCCAUACCGCGUGGGUGAAGAAGGCCUUCGGGUUGUAAAGCCCUUUUGUUGGGAAAGAAAAGCAGCAGGUUAAUACCCCGCUGUUCUGACGGUACCCAAAGAAUAAGCACCGGCUAACUUCGUG
rnacentral:rRNA from 1 species